GGCNUGCAGUCGCGCGACAAGCCUCUUUUAGCUUGCUAUUUGAGGUGGAGGAGCGGCGUAAGGGAGAGUAACGGGUGGAUUAUCUGCCCUCAGGUCUGGGAUAGCCACGGGAAACUGUGGGUAAUACCGGAUAAUAUCUGCGGAUCAAAGGUGUGAUUCCGCCUGGGGAUAAGUCCGCCUCCUAUUAGCUUGUUGGUGGGGUAACGGCCUACCAAGGCUACGAUGGGUACCGGGUGUGAGAGCAUGGCCCGGCUCACUGGGACUGAGACACUGCCCAGACACCUACGGGUGGCUGCAGUCGAGAAUCUUCGGCAAUGGGCGCAAGCCUGACCGAGCGAUGCCGCGUGCGGGAUGAAGGCCUUCGGGUUGUAAACCGCUGUCAGUAGGGAGGAAAUGCUAUGGGGUACUCUCCAUAGUUUGACCUAUCUUCAGAGGAAGGACGGGCUAAGUUCGUGCCAGCAGCCGCGGUAAGACGAACCGUCCAAACGUUAUUCGGAAUCACUGGGCUUAAAGGGUGCGUAGGCGGCGCGGUCAGUCGGAUGUGAAAUCGUACAGCUCAACUGUACAACUGCGUCCGAAACUACCGUGCUCAAGGAAGGCAGANGUGAGCGGAACUCAGGGUGGAGCGGUGAAAUGCGUUGAUAUCCUGGGGAACACCGGUGGCGAANGCGGCUCACUGGGCCUUUUUCUGACGCUGAGGCACGAAAGCUAGGGUAGCGAACAGGAUUAGAUACCCUGGUAGUCCUAGCUGUAAACNAUGANCACUAGAUCGAGGANACUCCCAUAUCUUCUUGGUUGUAGCGAAAGUGUUAAGUGCUCCGNCUGGGGAGUAUGGUCGCANGGCUGAAACUCAA
rnacentral:rRNA from 1 species